rnacentral:rRNA from 1 species
GACGAACGCUGGCGGCGUGCCUAAUACAUGCAAGUAGAACGCUGACUACUUUAGCUUGCUAGAGUAGAAGGAGUUGCGAACGGGUGAGUAACGCGUAGGUAACCUGCCUACUAGCGGGGGAUAACUAUUGGAAACGAUAGCUAAUACCGCAUAACAGUGUUUAACACAUGUUAGAUGCUUGAAAGAUGCAAUUGCAUCACUAGUAGAUGGACCUGCGUUGUAUUAGCUAGUUGGUGGGGUAACGGCCCACCAAGGCGACGAUCAGUAGCCGGACUGAGAGGUUGAACGGCCACAUUGGGACUGAGACACGGCCCAG